AUGGACAUGCAGGCACUGUCAGCCAGGGAAAUGGUGAGCUACGACGAUGCCCGUGAUUAUGUGACAUCCCUGUUCAUCAUGCUGAAGAAGGAACCAGUCAUCUUGUUCCGCAUCGAGUUCCUGGUGGUCCUCGUCACGCUGCUCUUCUUCGCCAUGUUCCUCAUGGAUUUCUUUCGCCGCAUCAUCCACAACCCAUUCAUGAGGGCCGUCUUCAGCAUCUUCGACGGCGUCUCCGACUCCAUUGUCUUGUACCUCCUGGGGGCCAUGCAGUCGGCGCCUUUCAAGAACCAGCUGUUCCCGAUCUGGGCUCUUGUGCUCGUCAAUUUCCGCUACAGCGCAGAUUACAUCUCCGGCUACGGCGUUCCUGACCGCCGCGGACGGAGGUUCACCGAGUGGAGGAACGUGUUCAAGCUCCUGGGGUCGGCAUUCUUGACUUGGACGCGUGGAUCCAGCUUCACGGCUCCACUCUGGUCCGUCUGGUGCCUGCAGAUAGUGAGGAGCGCGUACAGAUUCCACUCCACACAAUCUGGCAUUUCGCUCCCUCUGGCAUGGCGGGAGCUCGCACCUGGUUGCAGAGCACAUGCGUGCCAGGUACAGCAACUCGCAACCAGCAGCCGGCCCAGUGACGAUGGAAGACUACAGCUACUUGGUGUAUGGAGAAACAAGGCGGAAUUUCAAGCUAAAGAAGCCUCAGUAUGCAUUGUCUGCUCACCGGCCAAGAAAGAUCUGGCAAGCUAG
rnacentral:rRNA from 1 species